rnacentral:misc_RNA from 1 species
AGCUCGCUGUGCGGAGUUUCUGGCGCAUGCGCAGAGAGGUCGCUACAAGAUUUGUUGGGAAAAGAGUGGUGCGAUGUUUCCGAAAAAUCCAAAGAAUCCUCGUUACGAAUUGACUCCAGCAGCAUGAAAACUAACAAGAACGGUGCUUCGAUAGUGGCCUAGCACCGUGACGCAGGUCCCGAGCCGGCGAAGGUCCCCGUCGACGAGGUGAACCGCUGCGAAGAGUACGGUAUUGUCAGAAUCGCCCAGUAUCCUUCCAAGAUGGCGGCGUAUUUUCGUUGAAAAAAAUUGACAGGGUAUCCCCCCACCGUCACCAGUUCGUUCUCUCUGAGCGGGCUCCUGCCGAUUCCAGCCUCACGAAAUGGAGCUUCGAGUCGGCAACAAGUACCGGCUCGGACGGAAAAUUGGCAGCGGAUCCUUCGGGGAUAUUUAUUUGGGGACAAACAUAACCACAGGGGAAGAGGUGGCCAUCAAGCUCGAGUGCAUCAAGACGAAGCACCCGCAGCUGCACAUAGAGUCCAAGUUCUACAAGAUGAUGCAGGGAGGUGUCGGCAUCCCCCUCAUCAAGUGGUGCGGCUCGGAGGGCGACUACAACGUCAUGGUGAUGGAGCUGCUGGGCCCCUCGCUCGAGGACCUGUUCAACUUCUGCAACCGCAAGUUCUCGCUCAAGACGGUGCUGCUGCUGGCGGACCAGCUGGUGUCGCGUGUCGAGUACAUCCACUCGAAGAACUUCAUUCACCGCGACAUCAAGCCCGACAACUUCCUCAUGGGGCUGGGUAAGAAGGGCAACCUGGUGUACAUCAUCGACUUCGGGCUGGCCAAGAAGUACCGGGACUCGCGGACGCACAACCACAUCCCGUACCGGGAGAACAAGAACCUGACGGGCACGGCGCGCUACGCCUCGAUCAACACACACCUGGGCAUCGAGCAGAGUCGCCGGGACGACCUGGAGAGCCUCGGCUACGUGCUGAUGUACUUCAACCGGGGCAGCCUGCCCUGGCAGGGACUGCGGGCGGCCACCAAGCGGCAGAAGUACGAGCGCAUCAGCGAGAAGAAGAUGUCGACGCCCAUCGAGGAACUCUGUCGCAGCUUUCCCUCGGAGUUUGCCACCUACCUGAACUACUGCCGGUCGUUGCGCUUUGACGAGAAGCCCGACUACUCGUACCUGCGGCAGCUCCUACGCAACCUCUUCCAUAGGCAGGGCUUCACCUAUGACUACGUGUUUGACUGGAACAUGCUCAAGUUUGUGAGGCGGCAAUCGGAGCCAGGCUGGCGGUGCCGAGGCGGGGGCCACGGGAGUGGUCGGGGCCGAGGGGGGACCCGAGGUGGGUCACCGGGCCCAGGGGGGCGCCCAGCAGGCGCACCACGCGUCGACGGCGGCCUCGCGGGGCCUUCCCCCAACGACGGCGUCGGGCUCGCAGCGGCCCCCGUACCGAGGGACCUUCCUGACCGGCAUGAACGGCGAGCAGCACGGCAUGCCCGCAUCUCCCCCCUACCCCCCCUGGAGGAAGGGCGCCGACCAUCACAACGCCGCCUCCGGAGCGCUCACAAAGAGCGGUGUAGCAAAAGCGUCGGACAGGUAGAGCAACGGCACCGCAAGCACUGAUGGGUCCCCGCCACUAUUAUUUUUUUUCUCUCUCUCCCUCCUACUUCUCCCCUCUGCAGUGGGGUUGAAGGUGAGGGGGCAAAGGGGGGUUGCUGUUACUGCUGCUGCCGAGCUGCUCCCCCGAGCGGGACCGUUAACCAUUUGACACCGCCAGGAGGAGUUUGAGGAGGCUUUGUUGUCCAGUCAAGAAAACUCGGAAAGAAGAGAGGAGGGGGUCACACAUGGCGGUCUGACUUGCCAUCUCUGUCCGGUCCAUCACGCAUCACUCUGCAAGGGAACAAGUUGUGGCGCCUUCGGUGGCAGGACUGCGUGCUCUUCCCUCCUUUCUGGGUCAAGCUGCUGCAUGUCCCGCACCGUGGUGUGCCAGCGACAGCACUGUUCUGCUUUUGUGUGGAGUUGCGGCGGCGACUCUGCAGACGACGGGACUGCGACGUUUUGGGAAAGUUUUGUGUUGGACAAGGCCCUCCGCAGCCAUCCCUCUCUGCGUUUCUACACGACGGAUCGUGUUUCCCCUCUGCACAGUGUGUG